AUACGUAGGUGGCAAGCGUUGUCCGGAUUUAUUGGGCGUAAAGCGCGCGCAGGCGGUUCUUUAAGUCUGAUGUGAAAGCCCCCGGCUCAACCGGGGAGGGUCAUUGGAAACUGGGGAACUUGAGUGCAGAAGAGGAAAGUGGAAUUCCACGUGUAGCGGUGAAAUGCGUAGAGAUGUGGAGGAACACCAGUGGCGAAGGCGACUUUCUGGUCUGUAACUGACGCUGAGGCGCGAAAGCGUGGGGAGCAAACAGGAUUAGAUACCCUGGUAGUCCACGCCGUAAACGAUGAGUGCUAAGUGUUAGAGGGUUUCCGCCCUUCAGUGCUGCAGCUAACGCAUUAAGCACUCCGCCUGGGGAGUACGGUCGCAAGACUGAA
rnacentral:rRNA from 1 species